rnacentral:lncRNA from 1 species
ACAAACUAGAUGAUUGAGUUGGAAGCGUGCAUGGCCAAACAGUCAUGGGUGAACAGGGAGUACAGGAGAGUGCUGAGAAUGCACCCUUGUGGGGCCCCAGUGUUAAGGAUCAGCGGGGUGGAGAUGUUGUUUCCUACCUUCACCACCUGGGGGCUGCCCGUCAGAAAGUCCAGGACCCAGUUGCACAAGGCGGGGUCGAGAGCCAGGGUCUCAAGCUUAAUGACGAGUUUGGAGGGUACUAUGGUGUUAAAUGCUGAGCUGUAGUCAAAGAACAGCAUUCUUACAUAGGUAUUCCUCUUGUCCAGAUGGGAUAGGGCAGUGUGCAGUGUGAUGGCGAUUGCAUUGUCAGUGGACCUAUUAGGGCGGUAAGCAAAUUGGAGUGGGUCUAGGGUAUCAGGUAGGGUGGAGGUGAUAUGGUCCUUGACUAGUCUCUCAAAGCACUUCAUGAUGACAGAAGUGAGUGCAAUGGGGCGAUAGUCAUUUAGCUCAGUUACCUUAGCUUUCUUCAGAACAGGAACGCAUGCAAAGAUCAUCCGUUCACCUACUCUGCGUCUCACAAGGACACAGCGGUUGGAACCAAAAUUCUCAAAUUUGGACUCAUCAGACCAACGGACAGAUUUCCACCAGUCUAAUGUCCAUUGUUCAUGUUUUUGGCCCAAGCAAGUCUCUUCUUAUUAUUGGUGUCCUUCAGUCGUGGUUUCUUUGCAGCAAUUCGACCAUGAUGGCCUGAUUUACGCAGUAUCCUCUGAACAGUUGAUGUUGAGAUGUGUCUGUUACUUGAACUCUGUGAAGCAUUUAUUUGGGCUGCAAUUUCUGAUGCUGGUAACUCUAAUGAACGUAUCCUCUGCAGCACAGGUAACUCUGGGUCAUCCUUUCCUGUGGUGGUCCUCACAAGUGCCAGUUUCAUCAUAGCUCUUGAUGGUUUUUGCGACUGCGCAUGAAGAACUUUCAAAGUUCUUGACAUUUUCCGGAUUGACUGACCUUCAUGUCUUAAAGUAAUGAUGGACUGUCGUUUCUCUUUGCUUAUUUGAGAUGCUUAUUUGGACUUGGUAUUUUACCAAAUAGGGCUAUCUUCUGUAUACCACCCCUACCUUGUCACAACACAACUGAUUGCCAGAAACGCAUGAAGAAGGAAAGAAAUUCCACAAAUGUACUUUUAACAAGGCCCACAUGUUAAUUGAAAUGCAUUCCAGGUGACUACCUCAUGAAGCUGGUUGAGAGAAUGCCAAGAGUGUGCAAAGCUGUCAUCAGGGCAAAGGGUAGCUAUUUUGAAGAAUCUAAAAUCUAUUUUGAUUUGUUUAACACUUUUUUGGUUACUACAUGAUUCCAUAUGUGUUAUUUCAUUGUUUUGAUGUCUUCACCAUUAUUCUACAAUGUAGAAAAUAGUAAAAAUAAAGAAAAACCCUUGAAUGAAUAGGUAUGUCCAAACUUUUGACUGGGACUGUAUAUUUGAUGGGUAAAAUGUAUUUAUGUUUGUGUAUGUUUUAGGACUAGUCACUCACUAGGAUAUGUUUCUUCACCAGUGAUAAUGGACCACAGUAGUAUGCCAUAGCUGUUAGAAAGAACAAUAAUCAUCAUGUACAGUAUCUUUCUCCUACUAGGUAUCCAUUCAGUAUGGGUAAAGCCACUGGUGGCAUGUAACUUAAUGUACCUCCAUCUUUUCCUGUGUCCUUCAUGGUUGCCUUGGAAAUGCUGUGGUAAACCCUUGCUAGGACAAAGUCUGUCAGCUGGAGAGAGAGAGAGAGAGAGACAUAAACUGACCAGGUGAAUUGAAGCUGUUCUGAGGGAAAAUGUGUCUUCAAUGUUUUGUACACUCAGUGUACAGCAUAUGCUCCUGAUUACCACCUAUAUUGUAUACAUUUUGAUACAGAGGAUCUUAUUCAGUAAACAAGACAGUAGUAAGACUUAUUAACAGUAAGUAUAAUUUACCUCCAAUCAAUUUAUAACAUUUUUGACAUGCGUUUUUCUGGAUUUUUUGUUGUUGUUAUUCUGUCUCUCACUGUUCAAAUAAACCUACCAUUAAAAUUAUAGACUGAUCAUUAAUUUGUCAGUGGGCAAACGUACAAAAUCAGCAGGGGAUCAAAUAUAUUUUUCCCUUACUGUACAAAGCCCAUCUGUAAAUAGCCCAUCCAACUACCUCAUCCCCAUAUUGUUAUAUAAUUUUUUUUGCUCCUUUGCACCUCAGUAUCUCUACUUGCACAUUCAUCUUCUGCACAUCUAUCACUCCAGUGUUAAAUUGCUACAUUGUAAUUACUUCGCCACUACGGCCUAUUUAUUGCCUUACCUCCCUAAUAUUACCUCAUUUGCACACUCUGUAUAUAGAUUUAUUUAUAUUGUGUUAUUGACUGUACGUUUGUUUAUUCCAUGUGUAACUCUGUGUUGUUGUUUGUCUUGCACUGCUUUGCUUUAUCUUGGCCAGGUCGCAGUUGUAAAUGAGAACUUGUUCUCAACUGGCCUACCUGGUUAAAUAAAGGUGAAAUAAAAUGUUUUUAAAAAAUACACCUGACCAGCAGUAGGGGGCACAAGGGGGCGACCUCCAAAUUUAAACCUUUGUCUGCUAUUAAAGCUAUUUCUACUAUUUCUUUCCUUGAUCUCCAAGGAGAGACAAAUGCCUGUAAUGAAAAACGUGC